rnacentral:rRNA from 1 species
UACAGAGGGGGCAAGCGUUGUUCGGAAUUACUGGGCGUAAAGGGCGCGUAGGCGGUCCUUCAAGUCCCGCGUGAAAUCCCUCGGCUUAACCGGGGAACUGCGUCUGAUACUGGAUGGCUUGAGUGUGGGAGAGGGAUGCGGAAUUCCAGGUGUAGCGGUGAAAUGCGUAGAUAUCUGGAGGAACACCGGUGGCGAAGGCGGCAUCCUGGACCACGACUGACGCUGAGGAGCGAAAGCCAGGGGAGCAAACAGG